GACGAACGCUGGCGGCGUGCUUAACACAUGCAAGUCGAACGGAAAGGCCCUGCUUUUGUGGGGUGCUCGAGUGGCGAACGGGUGAGUAGCACGUGAGUAACCUGCCCUUGACUUUGGGAUAACUUCAGGAAACUGGGGCUAAUACCGGAUAGGAGCUCCUGCUGCAUGGUGGGGGUUGGAAAGUUUCGGCGGUUGGGGAUGGACUCGCGGCUUAUCAGCUUGUUGGGGGGGUAGUGGCUUACCAAGGCUUUGACGGGUAGCCGGCCUGAGAGGGUGACCGGCGACAUUGGGACUGAGAGACGGCCCAGACGCCUACGGGAGGCAGCAGUGGAGAAUAUUACACAAUGGGCGGAAGCCUGAUGCAGCAACGCCGCGUUCGGGAUGACGGCCUUCGGGUUGUAAACCGCUUUCGCCUGUGACGAAGCGUGAGUGACGGUAAUGGGUAAAGAAGCACCGGCUAACUACGUG
rnacentral:rRNA from 1 species